GGGGCCUUAGCUCAGCUGGGAGAGCGCCUGCUUUGCACGCAGGAGGUCAGCGGUUCGAUUCCGCUAGGCUCCA
rnacentral:tRNA from 7 species